rnacentral:rRNA from 1 species
CAGUAGCCGCGGUAAUACGUAGGGUGCGAGCGUUAAUCGGAGUUACUGGGCGUAAAGCGUGCGCAGGCGGUUAUAUAAGACAGAUGUGAAAUCCCCGGGCUCAACCUGGGACCUGCAUUUGUGACUGUAUAGCUAGAGUACGGUAGAGGGGGAUGGAAUUCCGCGUGUAGCAGUGAAAUGCGUAGAUAUGCGGAGGAACACCGAUGGCGAAGGCAAUCCCCUGGACCUGUACUGACGCUCAUGCACGAAAGCGUGGGGAGCAAACAGGAUUAGAUACCCGUGUAGUCCCUGUCUCUUAUAC